rnacentral:rRNA from 1 species
GAUGGACGCUGGCGGCGUGCCUAAUACAUGCAAGUCGAGCGAACGGACGAGAAGCUUGCUUCUCUGAUGUUAGCGGCGGACGGGUGAGUAACACGUGGAUAACCUACCUAUAAGACUGGGAUAACUUCGGGAAACCGGAGCUAAUACCGGCUAAUAUUUUGAACCGCAUGGUUCAAAAGUGAAAGACGGUCUUGCUGUCACUUAUAGAUGGAUCCGCGCUGCAUUAGCUAGUUGGUAAGGUAACGGCUUACCAAGGCAACGAUGCAUAGCCGACCUGAGAGGGUGAUCGGCCACACUGGAACUGAGACACGGUCCAGACUCCUACGGGAGGCAGCAGUAGGGAAUCUUCCGCAAUGGGCGAAAGCCUGACGGAGCAACGCCGCGUGAGUGAUGAAGGUCUUCGGAUCGUAAAACUCUGUUAUUAGGGAAGAACAUAUGUGUAAGUAACUGUGCACAUCUUGACGGUACCUAACCAGAAAGCCACGGCUAACUACGUG